AAAGGUUUAGUUAAAUCAUAACGCUAAUUUGUCAAGUUAUUAUUACCCUACAGGUAGCCUUUA
rnacentral:tRNA from 1 species